AUUGAACGCUGGCGGCAGGCCUAACACAUGCAAGUCGAACGAGUGGCGGAAGUGUGAGUAAUGUCUGGGAAACUGCCUGAUGGAGGGGGAUAACUACUGGAACCGGUAGCUAAUACCGCAUACAAUCAGCUGUGACCAUUUGGGAUUAGAUUGUGGGUGGGGUAACCGCGCACCAAGGCGACUAUCCCUAGCUGGUCUGAGAGGAUGACCAGUCACACUGGAACUGAGACACGGUCCAGACUCCUACGUGAGGCAGCAGUGGGGAAUAUUGCACAAUGGGCGCAAGCCUGAUGCAGCCAUGCCGCGUGUAUGAAGAAGGCCUUCGGGUUGUAAAGUACUUUCAGCGGGGAGGCGUUACCCGCAGAAGAAGCACCGGCUAACUCCGUGCCAGCAGCCGCGGUAAUUC
rnacentral:rRNA from 1 species